rnacentral:rRNA from 1 species
GAUGAAGGUCCUCUGGAUUGUAAACUUCUUUUAUCUAGUGGGCGAAAACCUCCCUUUCUAUGUGGGCUUGACAGUACCAGAGGAAUAAGCACCGGCUAACUCCGUGCCAGCAGUCGCGGUAAUACGAGAGGGUGCAAGCGUAUCCGGAUUCUACUGGGUUUAAAGGGUGCGUAUGCGAGCAGGUAAGUCAGUGGUCGAAAUCCCCGAACUUAACUCGGGAACUGACGGUGAUACUAUCUGUCUUGAAUACCGUGGAGGUGAGCGGAAUAUGUCAUGUAGCGGUGAAAUGCUUAGAUAUGACAUAGAACACCAAUUGCGAAGGCAGCUCGCUACACGGUCAUUGACGCUGAGGCACGAAAGCGUGGGGAUCAAACAGGAUUAGAUACCCUGGUAGUCCACGCCCUAAACGAUGAUUACUCGACAUCAGCGAUACACUGUUGGUGUCUAAGCUAACGCAUUAAGUAAUCCACCUGGGAAGUACGAUCGCAAGAUUGAAACUCAAAGGAAUUGGCGGGGGUCCGCGCAAGCGGUGGAGCAUGUGGUUUAAUUCGAUGAUACGCGAGGAACCUUACCAGUGCUAGAAUGCUGGGAGAUCGCAGGUGAAAGCCUGUUUUGUAGCAAUACACUGCCAGUAAGGUGCUGCAUGG